UCCCGGAAGUUAGCGGCGGACGGGUGAGUAACACGUGGGUAACCUGCCUGUAAGACUGGGAUAACUCCGGGAAACCGGAGCUAAUACCGGAUAUUUUCUUGAACCGCAUGGUUCAAGAAUGAAAGACGGUUUCGGCUGUCACUUACAGAUGGACCCGCGGCGCAUUAGCUAGUUGGUGAGGUAAUGGCUCACCAAGGCGACGAUGCGUAGCCGACCUGAGAGGGUGAUCGGCCACACUGGGACUGAGACACGGCCCAGACUCCUACGGGAGGCAGCAGUAGGGAAUCUUCCGCAAUGGACGAAAGUCUGACGGAGCAACGCCGCGUGAGUGAUGAAGGUUUUCGGAUCGUAAAGCUCUGUUGUUAGGGAAGAACAAGUACGAGAGUAACUGCUCGUACCUUGACGGUACCUAACCAGAAAGCCACGGCUAACUACGUGCCAGCAGCCGCGGUAAUACGUAGGUGGCAAGCGUUGUCCGGAAUUAUUGGGCGUAAAGGGCUCGCAGGCGGUUUCUUAAGUCUGAUGUGAAAGCCCCCGGCUCAACCGGGGAAGGUCAUUGGAAACUGGGGAACUUGAGUGCAGAAGAGGAGAGUGGAAUUCCACGUGUAGCGGUGAAAUGCGUAGAGAUGUGGAGGAACACCAGUGGCGAAGGCGACUCUCUGGUCUGUAACUGA
rnacentral:rRNA from 2 species